UGGAAAUUGCAGGCUCUUCCACAGAUGGGACAGAUGGUCACUGACUGGUUCACUGCACACUGGGUAAAGAAAUUUCUUCUGAUCCUGGUUCUAAAUGGCAUACGCUACGUCCUGAGGCUGUGACCCUUGGUUCAGGAGUCUCCAGUCAUCAGAAGCAUUGUCCCUGCAUUUGAGCCGUUAUGGGAGGAAAUCAAUGGUCAGACAUACAAACUGAAGGAAAGAAUCAAGUUCCUGAUGGAAAAUUACAAUGUAAUGGACAUUUUUCACUCU